rnacentral:rRNA from 1 species
AAUGGGGGAAACCCUGAUGCAGCCAUGCCGCGUGUGUGAAGAAGGCCUUCGGGUUGUAAAGCACUUUCAGUAGGGAGGAAGGGGUGAUGUCUAAUACGCAUCAUCAUUGACGUUACCUACAGAAGAAGCACCGGCUAACUCCGUGCCAGCAGCCGCGGUAAUACGGAGGGUGCAAGCGUUAAUCGGAAUAACUGGGCGUAAAGCGCACGCAGGCGGUUGGACAAGUCAGAUGUGAAAUCCCCGGGCUCAACCUGGGAACUGCAUUUGAAACUGUCCGACUAGAGUCUUGUAGAGGGGGGUAGAAUUCCAGGUGUAGCGGUGAAAUGCGUAGAGAUCUGGAGGAAUACCGGUGGCGAAGGCGGCCCCCUGGACAAAGACUGACGCUCAGGUGCGAAAGCGUGGGGAGCAAA